rnacentral:rRNA from 1 species
CUUGAUUAAUUAUAAGAGGUCAAGCCUGCCCAGUGACAUUGUUCAACGGCCGCGGUAUCCUAACCGUGCGAAGGUAGCGUAAUCACUUGUCCUUUAAAUAAGGACUAGUAUGAACGGCUUCACGAAGGCUAUACUGUCUCCUUAAUCUAAUCAAUUAAACUAAUCUCCCCGUGAAGAAGCGGGGAUUCGUCUAUAAGACGAGAAGACCCUAUGGAGCUUAAAACAUCUAAGACACUUGAUUUCACCUACUAAACUUCAUGCAACCUAUCAUUUUGUCUUAAGUUUUGGGUUGGGGUGACCACGGAGAAAAAUUGAACCUCCACGUAGAAAGAAAAUCCUUUUCUAAGCAAAAAGCCACAUCUUAACGCAUCAAUAUAUUGACUUAAAUUGACCCAAUUUCUUGCUCAACGAAC